AGAGUUUGAUCCUGGCUCAGGGAUGAACGCUAGCGGCAGGCUUAAUACAUGCAAGUCAAGGGGGUAGCAAUACAACCGGCGCACGGGUGAGUAACGCGUACACAACAUACCAUAUACUGGGGUAUAGCUUUGGGAAACUGAAGGUAAUCCCCCAUAACAUUGCGAGAGGGCAUCUGAUUGCAAUUAAAGUUUCGGCGGUAUAUGAUUGGUGUGCGUUUGAUUAGCUAGUUGGUAGGGUAACGGCCUACCAAGGCGACGAUCAAUAGCUGGCGUGAGAGCGCGACCAGCCACACUGGAACUGAGACACGGUCCAGACUCCUACGGGAGGCAGCAGUAGGGAAUAUUGGACAAUGGAGGAAACUCUGAUCCAGCCAUGCCGCGUGAUAGAUGAAGGCCUCUGGGUUGUAAAUAUCUUUUAUCUGGGAAGAAACAAUCUUAUUCUUAAGAUCUUGACGGUACCAGAGGAAUAAGCACCGGCUAACUCCGUG
rnacentral:rRNA from 1 species